rnacentral:tRNA from 1 species
AGUUGCUUAGUAUAAUGGUUAGUACAGCAGACUCUGAAUCUGUUAAUUUGAGUUCGAUCCUCAAAGCAACUA